UACAGAGGGUGCGAGCGUUGCUCGGAAUCACUGGGCGUAAAGCGCACGUAGGCGGACUCUUAAGUCGGUGGUGAAAUCCUGGAGCUCAACUCCAGAACUGCCUUCGAUACUGAGAGUCUCGAGUCCGAGAGAGGUGAGUGGAACUGCGAGUGUAGAGGUGAAAUUCGUAGAUAUUCGCAAGAACACCAGUGGCGAAGGCGGCUCACUGGCUCGGUACUGACGCUGAGGUGCGAAAGCGUGGGGAGCAAACAGG
rnacentral:rRNA from 1 species